UCUUUAAAAAUAUUUAUUUAUUUAUUUUGAGCAGCAUAUGAAAUCCUAUAGAGUUUUGCAGGAUGUUCUAACAUUUAACUUUUCUUAGAGAUAAUGAGAAGAAGUCUCCUGAGAUCUACUUAACUCAAGCUAUGGGACAUUGAGCUGCUGCUGUAAAAAUCAAAGAACCGAAGAAAUCAAAACAGUCAGAUUGUCCACAUGCUACCACCAUAACACUGAGUCACAUCCAGUGCAGGUCAGCUGGGAUCAACGUGAAAUUACUGCCAAUAUAGGAUGCUCCUAUGGCCAAUGCCUCCUGCUUCCAGUACCAGACUUGUCAGGUUCAAUACAUAGCCCAAGAUGAAGUUGGAAACACAGACUUUUGCUGGUUUAAGGUAAUCAAAGUGUCUCUGUUUACAGGACAGAAUAUGAGGAUAAUCCAGCACCAGACAGUGUGGACUGAAGAGGAUACCCGAACCAGUUUACUGCCAAGAAGGCUGUGUCAUCAUAGACCUCCACUGAACCAACAGGUGCACCCUGAAACCAGCUGUACAUAUUGUAAUUAUAAAAUAUCAGCUCUCUUGGUUCAUUGCGGAUCUGGAAACGUAAUGCAGUAGGCCUGGAAAAGAAUAUUGAAAGAGGUCCUUGAACAAGGAAACCCUUGAACUGGCAUCAUCUGCCCAAAAUGUCCUGGAAGGAGCCUGUAUCUGAAGACAGUUCCUGGCUUCCAUUAGGAAUCACAAGAUCUAUUGCAUUUACAAUGGACUGCCACAACAUACAGGACUAGUCUGUGACUAUUUGAAAGGAGGAGAGCUGAUAUGCACCGGCUUUACUGCACCAUGUCAAAGACAGCACCAAUUUAGCAGUGAUCCAUAGCCAAUGCACUGAGGACCUUCAGAAUAACUUCCCCUGCUACGCUCGCAUGCAUCAGAUUUAAUUUGCAAGUAUCAAGAUAUUCUAAUGGUCAGCAAGUCAGCAAAUGUUGUCUGGAAACUAUCAAUCUGCUAACAGAAUAAAUUAUCUGGAAACAUGACAAGUUCGUAAGUACCCACACACAAUAGCAAAAGAGAAAUAAAGAAAAAAUAAAAGUCCACCUGUUAAAGCUAUGAAUAAUUACACAACGUUCAGCCAAUACAUAACACAUCCUGGUAUUAAUCGAGAUCCUUAAAUAUCCUUCUGGUACUAAAAAUACUUUAGAGGAACUGCACAUCCCAAGAGAACAGCUUGUAGAGAACUGUCUUUAGCUUCCUUUAAAUUUUGCAAUUUCCUUUUAUAUCUGAACAUAACCACAGUCUAGAAUUGUGGUUUGUGGAUCUGGAUUAAUUCCAUGUGGUUCUCUGAGGAUAGAGGAUCCUUCUACCAGAGGGAGAAAAAAAUCCCUGGAGGAUAUGACAAACAUAACAUUGUUAUAAUGGUAGCAAAGCAAACCACCUUCUUUUGCAGUAAGUGCCACAAGUGGAGAUGGAAUUGGCUUGGUUUUCAUAUUAGAGUACAGAAAAAUCAUUCUUUACUGCCUCUGAGCUCUUAAAAUCACAUUCAAUACCUUUUUAUUUUCUCCUUAGAAGUCCAUGUCAAAGCAUUUUUUCUAUCAUGGGAGCUGUUUUUUUGUUUGUUUGUUUGUUUUUAAUCUUGAACUUUUUCUUGUGAGGUUUACAGUA